CCUACGGGAGGCAGCAGUGGGGAAUAUUGCGCAAUGGGCGAAAGCCUGACGCAGCGACGCCGCGUGAGGGAUGAAGGUCUUCGGAUCGUAAACCUCUGUCAGCAGGGAAGAACGGUCACUGUGCUAAUCAGCAGUGCAUUGACUGUACCUGCAAAGGAAGCACCGGCUAACUCCGUGCCAGCAGCCGCGGUAAUACGGAGGGUGCGAGCGUUAAUCGGAAUUACUGGGCGUAAAGCGCUCGUAGGCGGUAUGUCAAGUCAAGGGUGAAAUCCCCGCGCUUAACGUGGGAACUGCCUUUGAAACUGGCAAACUGGAGUGUGUGAGAGGAUAGUGGAAUUCCAGGUGUAGGAGUGAAAUCCGUAGAUAUCUGGAGGAACAUCAGUGGCGAAGGCGACUAUCUGGCACAUAACUGACGCUGAGGAGCGAAAGCGUGGGUAGCAAACAGGAUUAGAUACUCCUGUAGUC
rnacentral:rRNA from 1 species